UAUUCUUCUAAAGCUCCAUUAUCCUUAUUUUUCUAUUAUUUUAUCAAUUCAUUUAAAUUAUUUUAAUAGUUUUAGCUCUAAUUUUUUCACAAAUAUAGUUUUAUAAACUAAUAUACUUCCUGAUAAUUCACUGUUACCAAGCCUUUUCAAUUACUUUAUUUUUACAUUUUCACGUACUUUUUUCUAUAAAAUUAUCUAAUUGCUGACAUGUAACAUACCAGAUUUUGGUAUAAAAAUAAAAAUAAAUAAAAAUAGUGUGAAAAACUAUUUUUAUUGAAUUUAUAGGAGUAAAAUAUAAGUUAGAAAUGACUUGUGCUGAAAUCGGACUGGAAACAGAAGAUUUAGAAUUUUCUGUUGGAAACGGGACAGAUAAAUUAGCAGAAAAUGCACAGUCUCAGAAAAUUAUGAAAAUUGGAGGAUAAGUCAGAAAUAUUUUUAUGAGGCUAGAUUUAAAGUUUCAUAUUUUUCUGACACCCGUAGAGUAAGAAAUAAAAUCCGAGAGUUAUCUGAUAAAGAUUACAGUUCGGUACAGUUUUCGGUGACCAAAUGGUGUCGAAACUGAAAACUUAAAAUAUAUUCUUACUCCGUACGUUAAACCGAGCUUGUCUGUCAAAUUUGAGCUUAAACGGAUGUUCAGAAGGGCUCCAACGAAACUUAUCAGAUUUGAGGGACUAAACUGAAAGGUUGUGUAGUAGUGGGGCUGAUUUGUAGGGAUUAAAUU
rnacentral:lncRNA from 1 species